GCUUCUCAGAUUAGUCCUUCCACAAAUAAUGUUUCUUAGAGCUAAACUCCAACAGCAUAAAUUUUCCCGCUUUUUCACAACAAACCAAACUCUCAAUAAUCAACAACAAUGUUUUCCCAUUACUCAACAACUCUUAUUCCUCUUAAAAAAAUGCAUUACAAUCAAACAAGUCCAACAAAUCCAUACCCAAAUGUUAAUUCACUCUAUAGACAAAGCCAAUUAUUUACUCUCAAAAAUAAUAGACUUAAAAAAUUUAGACUAUGCUACUAUUCUUUUUUCACAUAUUAAUAACCCUAAUGAGUAUGCAUUUAAUAUAAUGAUAAGAGGGUUAACUACAACAUGGCAAAAAUUUGAUCUUUCUUUAGAACUUUAUUACAAAAUGAAGUCAUUAAGUUUACAAACUGAUAAUUUUACAUACCCUUUUGUGUUUAUGUGUUGUGGCAAUCUUUUAGCUAUGAAACUUGGUGGAUUAGCUCAUUGUGAGGUGUUGAAAAAUGGGUUGUUUGUGGAUUUUCAUAUAGGUCAUUCUUUGAUUACUAUGUAUUCGCGUUUAGGGAAGAUGGGGAUUGCGCGAAAAGUGUUUGAUGAAAUGUCGCAAAGAGAUUUGGUUUCGUGGAACUCGAUGAUUUCAGGGCAUGCUCAAAGUGGUUGCUCGAGAGAGGCGGUGGUGUUGUUUAUGGAAAUGAGGGAUGAGGGGUUUGAACCUGAUGAGAGGACACUUGUGAGUGUUCUUGGAGCUUGUGGGGAUUUGGGAGAUGUGAAUUUGGGUAAGUGUGUGGAGGAGGAGUAUGUUGUGGGGAAGAGAAUGGAGUUGAAUUCUUUUAUGGGUUCAGCUUUGGUUAACAUGUAUGGAAAAUGUGGAGAUUUGGUUUCUGCUAGAAGGAUCUUUGAUGGCAUGAGGAAGAAAGACGCGAUCACUUGGAAUGCGAUGAUUUCAGGGUAUGCACAAAAUGGGUUGUCCGAUGAAACAAUCUCUUUGUUCAAUGCCAUGAAGGAGGCAGGAGUUAACCCAAAUAAUAUCACACUGGUAAGUGUUCUCUCUGCAUGUGCUUCAAUUGGAGCCCUGGAUGUUGGAAAAUGCAUCGAUGACUAUGCAUCAAGAAGAGGUAUAAAGUAUGAUAUAUAUGUAGCUACGGCCUUAAUUGAUAUGUAUGCAAAAUCCGGCAAUCUGGAUGAUGCAUAUCAAAUUUUUGAAAGCAUGCCUAGAAAAAAUGAAGUCUCCUGGAAUGCAAUGAUUUCUGCUCUUGCCUUUCAUGGAAGAGCACAAGAAGCAUUAUCCCUAUUUGAGCGUAUGUCACUCGAGAGUAGUGAUGCCCACCCAGAUGAUGUCACUUUUGUUGGAGUACUCUCAGCAUGUGUACAUGCAGGGUUGGUUGAUGAAGGCAAGCGCAAUUUUGAUAUAAUGAGUUCAUCAUUUGGGUUGGUUCCGAAAGUUGAGCAUUACUCUUGCAUGGUUGACCUUUUGUCUCGAGCUGGUCGUGUAUACGAGGCAUGGGAGUUUAUUGAGAAGAUGCCUCAAAAACCAGAUGAAAUUUUACUUGGUGCAUUGCUUGGUGCAUGUCAAAAGCUCAAAAAUAUUGAUGUCGGGGAACGAGUGAUGCAACUACUCCUUGAGAUGGAACCGUCGAAUUCGGGUAAUUAUAUAAUAUCAUCAAAGAUAUACGCAAAUCUACGAAGGUGGGAUGAUUCUGCAAGGAUGAGACAAUUAAUGAGACAGAAAGGUGUGACUAAAAUUCCAGGCUGUAGCUGGAUUGAGAUGGAUUCUCAACUUGUUGAAUUUCGUGCUGGCGAUUCGUCACAUCCAAUUGCGGAUGGGAUUCAACAGGCACUAGACUUGUUGUACGAGGAGAUGGUGGUAGAUGGCUAUGUUCCAAAUGCGAAUAUUGUGUAGAAAGUGUGUAAUUUUGCAGCAUGGAUUGUUGGAUAGGCCACUUGAUACCUUUAUGAUCAUCCUGAACUGAAUGCAUGGUCAGUUUGUUGGAUUCAGUAUGACUUGCUAGGUUCAUGAUCCUUUUGUGCACCAAAUGAGAAGCUAUACAUAGAGGAACCAGAAAUGGUAACUGGACAAAGCAAUUUCAUUAAAUGAUGAAGCUUGAAGCAAUUCAAUCUCAGCCAUGCCGAGUGCAUAGUAAGAUUCCUUUCUCAAAUCCUGCAACCAAAGUGAACAUCAUCCAGAAAGUGGGCUCUAUUUUGCUGGACAACGUAGAAAUUUGCUGCUCCUUGACUGGUUGCUUGAUGUUCUUUUGUUGUAACUUCCUCUUUUUGUUGAUGUUCUUUUGUUGUAACUAAAGAGUGAAAGUUUAGCAUUUGAUGAAAAUAUGUAUACUAUUAUAGAAACACUGAAAGAUCCUUUCUGAAAAGAACAUGGCCAACGGCAGUCGAGGGUAUUGUAUUUCUGGGACAUUUCCAUUUUGAUUUAAUACUGAUUAUUAUCUUUUGGUACAUAUACAAAUAAGAAGAAAAUUGAGUAGCCA